AGUGCAAUUGCUGGAUGAUAUGGUAAGAACAUGAUUAGUUUUGUAAGAAACUGCCAAACUGUCUUCCAAAGUGGCUGUACCCUUUUGCAUUCCCACCAGCAAU
rnacentral:pre_miRNA from 1 species